AGAAAAAAAGAGGGGGGUCGAUUUAGGCUCCUUCCCUUCCACUGCGUAGCCGCACUAGCAGGUACUACGAGCCCUCUGUCCCACGCAUCUAACCAGCUCGCGUGGUUCACCGGUUCCACCGAAAACUCUCAUUUGUUGAAGCGGAGCAUAGUGCGCUUUAGGCGCUGAGCGAGAAAGGUCUCUUCUUUCCUUUCGGUUUAUUCACUGAUCUGAAACUUAGCACUUGUUUUCUUAUUGAUUCCCGGGGCGGUGGCAUUCUUGAAUGAAGUCUAUCCGAA
rnacentral:lncRNA from 1 species